rnacentral:snRNA from 1 species
UGACUUAGAGAAGAUUAGCAUGGUCCCUGCCAAGGAUGAUACGCACAAAUCGAAAAAUGGUCCAAAUUUUU